rnacentral:rRNA from 1 species
GACGAACGCUGGCGGCGUGCUUAACACAUGCAAGUCGAACGGUAAGGCCCUUCGGGGUACACGAGUGGCGAACGGGUGAGUAACACGUGGGUGAUCUGCCCUGCACCUCGGGAUAAGCCUGGGAAACUGGGUCUAAUACCGGAUAUGACCUCUGCGGGGCGUCGCGGAGGUGGAAAGUUUUUCGGUGAAGGAUGGGCCCGCGGCCUAUCAGCUUGUUGGUGAGGUAGUGGCUCACCAAGGCGACGACGGGGAGCCGGCCUGAGAGGGCGACCGGCCACACUGGGACUGAGACACGGCCCAGACUCCUACGGGAGGCAGCAGUGGGGAAUAUUGCGCAAUGGGCGAAAGCCUGACGCAGCAACGCCGCGUGCGGGAUGACGGCCUUCGGGUUGUAAACCGCUUUCAGCAGGGAAGAAGCCGCAAGGUGACGGUACCUGCAGAAGAAGCACCGGCUAACUACGUGCCAGCCGCCGCGGUAA